ensembl:snoRNA Gm23904 predicted gene, 23904
ACUGCCCCUAUAGUUGUUACAGGUAUGGCUGCUGUGUCACAUGUACAUCAGUAGAGGGCAGAGGAGAAAAACUAUGUCUGUGUACAGUGUUCUGACCUAUGGACAUCUGAAUGAGCCUAACAUU